UGGGGAACUGUAUUUUUAAUAACAACAACAUUGGUUGCCCUUCUGAAAAAAGAAAACGAAGUAUCAGUAGUAAAAGAAGAAACACAAGGGAUCACAGAUACUUACAAGCUGCUUUUUGCAAUUAUAAAAAUGCCAGCAGUUCUGACAUUUUGCCUUCUGAUUCUAACUGCAAAGGUUACAGUGUACAGCAUGUAUGUUUCUAUAAUGGCUUUCAAUGCAAAGGUUAGUGAUCCACUUAUUGGAGGAACAUACAUGACCCUUUUAAAUACCGUGUCCAAUCUGGGAGGAAACUGGCCUUCUACAGUAGCUCUUUGGCUUGUAGAUCCCCUCACAGUAAAAGAGUGUGUAGGAGCAUCAAACCAGAAUUGUCGAACACCUGAUGCUGUUGAGCUUUGCAAAAAACUGGGUGGCUCAUGUGUUACAGCCCUGGAUGGUUAUUAUGUGGAGUCCAUUAUUUGUGUUUUCAUUGGAUUUGGUUGGUGGUUCUUUCUUGGUCCAAAAUUUAAAAAGUUACAGGAUGAAGGAUCAUCUUCGUGGAAAUGCAAAAGGAACAAU
rnacentral:lncRNA from 1 species